UUGGAGGGCAAGUCUGGUGCCAGCAGCCGCGGUAAUUCCAGCUCCAAUAGCGUAUAUUAAAGUUGUUGCAGUUAAAAAGCUCGUAGUUGAAUUUCGGGGUUAGUAGGUUGGUCAUGCCACUGGUAUGUACUGGUCUCACUGAUUCCUCCUUCCUGAUGAGCCGUAAUGCCAUUAAUUUGGUGUUGCGAGGAAUCUGGACUGUUACUUUGAAAAAAUUAGAGUGUUUAAAGCAAGCUAACGCUUGAAUACAUUAGCAUGGAAUAAUGAAAUAGGACGUUCGAUCCUAUUUUGUUGGUUUCUAGGAUUGACGUGAUGAUUAAUAGGGAUAGUUGGGGGCAUUAGUAUUCAAUUGUCAGAGGUGAAAUUCUGGAUUUAUUGAAGACUAACUACUGCGAAAGCAUUUGCCGAGGAUGUUUUCAUUAAUCAAGGACGAAAGUUAGGGGAUCGAAGACGAUCAGAUACCGUCGUAGUCUUAACCAUAAACUAUGCCGACUAGGGAUCGGAUGAUGUUAUUUUUAAUGACUCAUUCGGCGCCUUACGGGAAACCAAAGUGUUUGGGUUC
rnacentral:rRNA from 1 species